rnacentral:misc_RNA from 1 species
GAAAUGCGAUACGUAGUGUGAAUUGCAGAAUUCCGUGAAUCAUCGAAUCUUUGAACGCACAUUGCGCCCUCUGGCAUUCCGGGGGGCAUGCCUGUCCGAGCGUCAUUACGCACCCUCAAGCCCGGCUUGUGUGAUGGGCCCCGGCGUCUCGUUCGCGAGACGGGCCCGAAAGGCAGCGGCGGCGUCGACCCGAUGAGCCCGAGCGUAUGGGGACUUCUGUCACACGUUCGCGGUGCGGACCGGCGCCUGCUUUGACUUUUCUGAUUAUCCAGGUUGACCUCGGAUCAGGUAGUGAUACCCGCUGAACUUAAGC